rnacentral:sRNA from 12 species
ACUGUGGACUACACAAGCAAUGCAAGUAGUAAUUUACAAAAGCAUGUAGGAAGAAGCAGUAA